CAAAAAUAUUAUCAGAGGGGUGUGAAAAGUAGUGUCAAUAUAACCAUGACACUUAUUUGGGACAUCAUUGAAUACUUGAGCGAUCUUAUUCUUUGGAUAACAGGGAUGUGGCUGUUUAAAUCAACUACACCACCUAUGCCUACUGCAGUUUUUGAAAAGGAAUGGAGGAUCACACCCUGGGGUCAGAAAGAGGUAAUACUGCAGAAAUUGAAAG